rnacentral:misc_RNA from 1 species
GGAACAGUUAGCUGAUUAAUAUCGCCAGAAAUAAUGGGGUUUUUAUCAGUUUGAAGGAUUUUUCCAAUGAAAUCACAGUCUCGAAGAAGAUGAUCAACCAUAGUAUCGCUCUUAGUUUCCAAGCAUGACAAUAUAAUACUCUCCACAUGAUGAUGCAACGCAUUAUUGAAUGGGUACUCAAAGAACAAAUCAAGGAUCCGUUUAAUAGUUCCUGAACUGACCAAUUCCUUCUCAGUAGCUUCAUUCCCCGUUCUUAAUAGCACCGCAAUGAACUCAACAAUCUUUAAGCGAUGCUUCCCAAGAGGAGGCUUCAGUUCUCCAUAUGUUGUAGGUAAAAUUUUAUCGUCAGACAACACAUUUAAUAGCAUAAGUAAGUCACCAAGUUUAGGCAGCAUUGCAUCAAUAGUCUCUGGAUUUACAGGGAUUGAGGACUCAUAAAUUUGUUGACUUCGAAAAGAAUGCAGCAAGGGGGAAAAAGUUGCAGAUCUUUUAGGAUCCAGUAAAGAUAUACACACAGAAAGUGAGUGAACAAGUCCAGAUUUUGAAUGUGAAUCUUCCAAUGCAUGUCCAAAUAUCCUUGAAACAAAGCUUGGACUAGAGAGUUUAGUCGCCAAAGCUGAGGGAGCAUUUCGAGAUAUUGCACAUAAUGUUUCUGCUGCAUUCGCAUGAACUUCAGGAGGGCUAGAAGGAUUCAAUUUGUCCACAAUCAUUUCUAGCAAA